rnacentral:tRNA from 1 species
GCCGCGUUAGCUCAGUGGAGAGAGCGCCUGUUUACGGAACAGGGGGUCGGGGGUUCGAGUCCCUCACGCGGCGC